UCAAAAACUACGUCAUAAUCUUACUCUAUGACUCUUAGAUGUGCCAGUCUUCGUGUAGAGGAAUAUACACUUUUGUUUUAUAAACCAAAUAACAUUUGAAACAAAAUGAAAUGCCAGAAAACUUUAGCAAAUGAAUUGUGAAAGUAAUGAAGUUGUAUAAAUACCAAUAGUUGCCAACAUGUAUUGGACGGUGAUGGAACUAAACCGAAUUCUUUCCUGUUUGGAAUAUCGUGCUGUGUACAAUCAAUAUAAAUGACAGAAAGGCAAUAAAUAGCUCGAAGUCCCAAAUCCCCUUCGGAAAAUAAUGUGCAAAAUAUUCUGAAUCUUAGACAGCCUAAAACCUGUGUGUAUCGGAUCUGAAUUUUUUAAGCAACCUUUAGAGUUCUUGGGAAGUCGUAUGGGAGUCUAUACUGAGGACGGCGGCCAUUUUGGAUUUAUCAGAAGAUAGCAACACUAGUGCGAAUUUUCAAAAAACCUGUUGCUUAUUCCCGCGUCCUCAUUUUUGUUGCACCGUGAAGCUAUCAGGAGAUACCAUCAGUAAAAGGUAAUUAAAAUUCAUUAAAAUGACAUCUAUCGGAGUUUCGAAGAGGUCAAAUUGUUGGUGCUCGUAUGGCAGGCGCUACAGUAACGAAAACAGCCGAAAUGUUUGGUGCAUCGAGAAGUACUGUCUCGAAAGUUAUGACAGCCUUUGAGAAAGAGGGAAAAAAUUCCUCGUCGAAACAAAACCCCGGAAGAAAACCAAAUCUUUCAGAUAAGGACCGUCGGACUCUUAUGCAAAAUCUUGGAAAGGAUCGCAAACGUACAGCUUCAAAAAUUACUGCAGAGCUUAAUGACCAACCCAAGAACCCAGUUUCCAGAAAAAACUGUUAGCCGGGAUCUGCACAAGGCGGAUUUCACGGGAGGGCUACAAUAAGAAAACCGCUACUUUCAAAAACAAAUGUUGCAAAGCAUUUAGAGUGGAGUAAAAACCUACAGAAUUGGUCCCUAGAGCAGUGGAAGAAUAUUAUUUUUUCGGACGAGUCAUCAAUUUAAGGGGAAGUGUAAGUCGAUUAUAUCGACUUAAGUGUUCAAUCCUGAAAUGGUGAAAGGCAAAUUCAAUCUCGGCAGGAUUUGAACUCAGAACGUAAAGUCGGAUGAAAGACGGAUGAAAUGCUAUGCAUUUUACCCGUCAUGCUAACGAUUCUGCCAGCUCACCAAAUUCCCAGCUGAACUAAUAUUGAUUUCAAAUUUUGGCACAAGGCCAGCCAGUUCGAAAGAGGGGAUAAAUCGAUUACAUUGACCCCAGUGUUCAAAUUGUACAUAUUUUUAUCGACACCGAAAGAAUGAAAGGUAAAUUCGACCUUCCAUGAAAGGUAAAUUCGCGGUAGAAUUUGAACUCAAAAGACAAAACGAAACGCCACUAAGCAUUUUGCACUGUGUACCCAUGAUUCUGCAAGCUAGCCCUCUUACCACCAAAAUUAAUAUUAAAACCUUUCAAAGAGUUGACAGUCUCUCACAGAAGAGUCUACCACCAACCUACUGAUUGGCAAUUUAAUAUAAUUGUACAUUGCUAAAGAAAUCAUAGGCUAAGUAUUUCGAAUAUAUGGCAUGAUAUGUCUUAUCUUACUUAACUUUAAUUAAUUGACGUUUGAUAGUAUAAUUAUAUUUUCAAUGUAGGAUAUAAACACUGAUUCAUAUUGUCACUGUGCAUAUUAAUAGUUAGCAUUUAAUAAAAGGAAAAACAGAUUCGGCUAUGUAAAAUUAAAUAUACUAAAAGACAGUAUGGUCGCUCAUUUUUGGAACGCUUUUGGUCAAAUUACUUUGUAAUUAGAGCUGGAUAAGCUUAAUAACAGAAAUGAACAGAUAUUCAUUAACCAAAAUUACAAAUAAUCUAAUGCAAUUAACUGGAUUUCAUGUUUAUAUAUUGCACUAUUUUUGCAUAGAAUUAUUUGAAUUAAUAUGUUUUACAUAAAAAGAACUCCAAUUAAAGGUAUUUCAGUUUUCAAACGAAGUCAUUUAGAAUAAUUUAGACAUGAACUUAUAAAUACUUCACAUUCAAUAUUUCUCAAUCAUUUUCCUAGAAGUAAAAUUAAUAACAAACAAGCGAUCGGAAAACCUGCAGCAACCGGUCUAUUUAGCGAUGGUUUUAAUAGGAUUUAAGGGAUGCAUAAAUUUUGUUUAGGUUACAUGUGCUUAACUUUUAACUUUAAUGGCUUCCAGUGCAUCAAACCAAGCUUAAAGAUUCAUACUUCUCUAUAAACGAUAGCAAAUUAAUAUUGCGUCCUCAUUUACGACAUUCUUUCAUCUAUAAAAAAAAUAUUAUAUCCUUUCAUUCAAAGAAGAAGUAUUGAUUUACAAUGUUUUGCCACUUACAUGUAACGAUAAUGACUACGUUUACCAGUAUUUUAUGAUGUAUUCGUAUAAGAUGAUAUUCAACGGUAAGUUGAGGGCUUCUCAUAAUUCUAUAAUACCAUAUAUAGUUUGGCCUUUGACGUUUAAGUUGAAACUAUAAUGUGUAUAUUUGAAAGAAAAGUUUGGCAUUAACAUUUAUCACCUAUUCUUCACUCUUUUUUUCUAUUUAUAAGUGUUAAACAUUUUUAUGCUGUGCCUUCACAGUUCAUAAUAUAUAUAAAUCGACCUUGAUAGUUCUUUGACCUUUCAUUCAGUUAACAGAAACAAAUAUGAAGAGUGAUUCCUUUUAUUGAGAAAUGAGAUUAAAGCAAAAUCCCAACAUGGCCAUCAACGCCAAAGUAAUUAAAUAAGAAUACUUGAUGUGUGUACAUGUAGAAAAUUCGCUGAAACAUCUUAAGUUAAUAUCAGUUAUUUGCAUGAUUGAUCUGCAUGUAGUUUGUAGGAAUAAUGGAAUAAUAUUAUGCAUCAUUAAGGCGGUGAGCUGGCAGAAUCGUUAGCACGCCGGGCGAAGUACUUAGUGGCAUUUCAUCGGUUCUUACGUUCUGAGUUCUAAUUCCGCUGAGGUCAAAUUUGCCUUUCAUCCUUGCCGUGUCGAUUAAAUAAGUACCCGUUGAAGACCUGGGUCAAUUUAAUCGACAUACUGACUCCUCUAAAAUUGCUGGCCUUGUGCCAAAAUUUGAAAACAAAAUAUUUAAUACGCCAAACCUGGAGAUCUGGCAGAAUCGUCAACACGAGUUCAAAUUCGGCCGAGGUCGACUUUGCUUUUCAUUCUUUUAGGGUCAAUAAAGUAAGUAUUAUUUGAGCAAUGGGAUCGAUAGAAUCGGCUUACCCACUCCCCCCCUACGAAAUUGCUGGCCUUCUGCCACUAUUUGAAACCAAUAGCAACCUAUAUUUUGAGGCGAUAGCAAAAUAUCAAAUUAAACGCAAGUGUAGCGAAGUAUGAGCGCUCGUAAUGAUAUGAUUAAUACCAGAGCUGUUAUAGGGUAAUUAAUACUAGCAGUAACCUUGACAAUUUCACGAUUGUAUUGCAAAGUAUUAUACAGAUUCUUAAAAAUUUAA